rnacentral:tRNA from 1 species
GGCCCUGGAGUUUUAAACGUAGGAUUGCAACUCCUGAAAAAAGCAGAGAAGUUCUGCCGGGGCUU